CAAAUCCUUUGCAAACUCACUUUCAUUAGCUGCAGAUCCCUCUAUCCGGGAUUAAUACCCAAGUUCACUAAACCAGUCUCCUAUUAUUGGGCAGUUGGAUGUUGUUCUGCUUUUAUAAACAACACUGUGCUGGACAUCUUUGUGCCAUAAGCUUCUCCAUAGCUCUGUUAUUCCCAGAAGAGGAAUUCCUUAGUCAGAGGGUCUGAAUAUUUUGCAAUCCAGAGUAUAAAGAAUCUGUCCUCUAUCUUCUCACAGGGGAGGAGAAUUCCACUCAAGGACUCAGCAAAACUUCAAUAAGCACCCCGCUGGGCUCUUCCUGUGUGGGGCCCAAGUGGCGAAGCCCUAAGUCACAUUCUGAGGUUGUUUAUUCCAUUUGGUCAGUGGGCUCAGAGCCAAAGGCAGACUUGGAGCCAACUAUCAAUUAUCUAUCCUCACAAGGACAGGAAUAGCCUGCUGAUAUAAAAAGAAGCCAAGGAAAAUGCCCAAAUUUUGUUUUUGAUGUUGGUUUCCCUUCCUCCCCGUGGUGCCUCCUGGAGCCACUGAUAUGUGCUGGACUCAGGGAGGCCAUCUUUCUCCCACUCUGGGGACAAGUCAGCCACAAGGUGGUCAGGAGACGGGGGAGAAGAGGCCCGGCUGCCUGGGCGCGGGUGAAGGGCCCCUUCAGGAAGGAGACCGGCUGCACCUUUGAAGAUCAAUGUCACCAUCUCCUCUUUCUCUGAUUGUCAAGUGACUUCUCUCCGUUGCUGAGCCUGGCUUUGGGCCCAGUGUGGAGCCCCGUGAGCAAGGCUGUGAUCAGAGAGAUAGAUGUCUAUCUCCUUCCUGUUUAGCACCGACUUUCCUGUCGGAUGAGUCAACCUGUGCCCGUGUGCCCACAGCGUGAG
rnacentral:lncRNA from 1 species